rnacentral:rRNA from 1 species
AGCGAACGCUGGCGGCAGGCUUAACACAUGCAAGUCGAGCGCCCCGCAAGGGGAGCGGCAGACGGGUGAGUAACACGUGGGAACGUACCCUUUGGUUCGGAACAACCCAGGGAAACUUGGGCUAAUACCGGAUAAGUCCGCGAGGAGAAAGAUUUAUCGCCGAAGGAUCGGCCCGCGUCUGAUUAGCUAGUUGGUGUGGUAACGGCGCACCAAGGCGACGAUCAGUAGCUGGUCUGAGAGGAUGAUCAGCCACACUGGGACUGAGACACGGCCCAGACUCCUACGGGAGGCAGCAGUGGGGAAUAUUGGACAAUGGGGGCAACCCUGAUCCAGCCAUGCCGCGUGAGUGAUGAAGGCCCUAGGGUUGUAAAGCUCUUUCGGGGGGGAAGAUAAUGACGGUACCCACAGAAGAAGCCCCGGCUAACUUCGUG